ensembl:lncRNA
GGCACAGACAGGCUAUUCGGAAAGGGGAAGUUGUCACAGCAUGUGUUUCCUCUCCUUGAAAUAGAGAAGACGUUUCUGUUAUAAUAUUCUCUUUCAUCUACACUGAACUGAACAUUCAUCUCAUGGCAUUGUUAAUAGGGAGGUCCAUAUGGCUGCAAUGAAAUUUUAUUUGAUAUUUAAUCUUUUAGAUAUGUAUGUAUCUUAAUAUGGGACAGUGCGUUUUAUAGUGCCAUCUGACCAUUUGCGCUUGAGUAAUUUCAGCAGUUUUAUAAGGUCGAAUGAUGAGUUUGAAUGUACAGGACUGAGGAGAUAACACCGGCCAAAGUCCGUGGGACUUGUCUUGUUCACUUGCUUGUGUGUGCAGUCUUUGAUGUUUCUGCGGAUGAUUGGUAGCAUUUUGCUGAGGCUUAACAUUUCUUGUACCCCAUGAGCUGGCUUGGACUGGCCAAAAUGUUCUCACUCUGUCAUACCAGAGGAAGUAGUGUUAUUUAAUUUUGUGUCUUUCACUGAUAUGUUAGCGUUGUCGUUAAGGACAACUUGGACCACAAAGAAUGGUUGGGUUGGUUUUUUUUUUGUUUUGUUUUGGGUUUUUUUGAUAGUUUUUUUUAAACCCUUCUAACUAAAAACACAUUUUAGCAGAUUUUUUUUAAACCCAUUAACUCCUAUGAAAUCGUUUCUUUUAUUAUCAUUAUUAUUAUUAUUAUUUUACUUCAGUAGUAUAUAUUUUGUUAUUUUGGUUGCUUGGGGUCAAGUUAACAUAUUGUUUGUUUUUGUUUUGUUUUUUCAACUUGUUAGCUAACAGUUGUUUUACAUACCCAGUCGUCACAGUGGAUCAUUUACACUGGUGUUACAUUUUCUGUGUACACAAAUAUGCGAGCUUCUGAGUAACAUAAAAUUUGCCUUCAGCCAACCAGCAAGUUUGUCGUGACUGCGUGGAGAUGUUUGUUUUCUUGUUAUGCAUGGCCAAAGAAUUGGAGAGUAUAAGGUCUGUUUGACUUCUUUCAGCACUGUUUUGGUCUCUACCAACUGCUGGAUGAAAUAGCUGUCUCUAUAUCCAGCUGCAGAUGGUGCCCAAGCAAAGCUACUUUAGCGCUAACAUUCCUGUCAGGAUAGGUAAACAGUUUGCAUUCUGCAAAGGCAAAUAAAGCCUCAGCGAGCUUUGGGUGAUAAAACUCUUUCAAUCAUUUGCUAAAAGCAUCCCUCUCACUGCUGCAUUGUUUUUAUUUCAUACAUUGCUAUGAUGAUAAUAAUACAGCCAGUUUAAAUAUUCAAAGCAGGUAAAAUAAGUAUUAUUUAUGAAAAGUUUAAUCCACAAAAUUUUUGCUAAUUUGCUUCUUCACCGGGAAUUUGUAAGUUUGUGUUGACCACUACUUUGAGAAGAUCACCAUAUAGAAAAAUCCAGACAUGUGCACCUUUUGAAAUGGCUGAUCUUUUCUAACUUUGGCAAAAAAAUGUGCAAAAGCUAAUAAAACUAUUAGGAGAGGAAAGUUUUCCAGGACCUGUUUAAAGGAUGAAUUCCACUUAAGGAAAGGCAUUAACUCCAAACAAGAGUUUUCCAGCAUGCUCUUCCUCCAGCUCUUUCUGGAAAAGGUACACCGUAAAUUGAAAAUGGCAAGCUGCACUUACAGAUUAGCCAAUAAAACAUUGUCUUAGCUGCUGUGAUUUAUGUGACACAGCUGGAACAUGGAAAAGGCUAUUUAAAUGUGUUGGGUGUCCAUGUUGCUUGUUGAUUUUUUUUUCCAAGUUGGACCAGUGGAACAUGGGAAGGUUGUAAUUACAGGCAAGCAGCUGGGAAAUUCCAAAUUGUGACCAAAACUCCAAAGCUGUAUAUUUUUUUCAAACAUGCAUAGUUCAUGAGAUAUUAAGUCUGAGGAUACAUUGAUGUUAUAAUGGAGUAGUCCUUUAGAGUUCCCCAUGUUGCCUGUAUAGCCUUUUGAGAAUCAGAGGAUUUUCUAUAAGUUGUAUUAAAUUUUAUUUUUUUUUACUUUGUUAGCUGCCUCUACACUAUAUACAGGCAAAACCAGAUAAAAUCUCUUCAUCGUGGUUUAAAAAGAGUCAUUCACGUCACACAUCUAAGGCUUUAAGAGCUACACAAAGACAGAUUUCUUACUGUUGUUUUGAUGUAAUGUUGUAGCUGAUGAAUCCUAUCUCUGCCUAUUCAUCUUAGGAAUUUACAUCAAUGCUGCUGUCAGUUUAGUACAUGAUCAAUAGCACUAGGUUUGGACUGCAGGAGAAUACAUUAUUUUACCUGCUGCUCUUUGUUGCUGUGACUCAUUGUGCUGCUGUAUGAAAACCAGUGGAAGGGCUAGGUGUGUGACUCAGAAGUAAGAGGUUAAAGGUUAAAAGGAACAGCCAGCAAACCCUUGUUGUUAUAACGAUUCAUAGAUAAGUAAGGCAAAGGUUGGAGUAUUGUCUGUGCACUUUAAAUGGAAUGAAAUGGUUAUUACAUUAAAGCCACAACUUUCCCAUGGUGCACAUGCUGGAUUUUAAAAGCUCAUAUUACAUUAUCUUUGUGGAAAGCAAUAUAUGCU